UUAAAUAAUUCAAUUAUCUUUUUCUCUCUCUAUCUUCUUCUUCACCCUGUAAGUUACUGGUUUUUACCCUGUAAGUCACCGGCUGAAAAAGAGCAGGUUAAUUUUUUUUCCAAGUUAGGUUAUUUGAGUCCUAGCAUGUUGGAAAAUUAAGAUCUAUACUGUUGAGUUAUAGUACCUGAGAGAUACGUUUGGGCGAUGAAUCUGAAGCAUCAAGGGCCAGAUCUUGGCAAGUUGGA
rnacentral:lncRNA from 1 species